UAAUGCUAUGAUAUAAAUUAUUUUAUAUAAUAUAAAAUGGUUAUAUUGAUCCUAAGUAUUAUAGAAAUAGAUGAUAUUUAAAUUUUCACUAACACCAGUAUGUAGUUUUGGUUAAUGAAUGAAAGUUUGAACCAGAUUAGUUUUAAUAGAGUUGGUAAAUUUAGUGCCAGCAUCCGCGGUUAAACUAAAGACUCUAGUUAUAUAAAUAAUGGUGGAGUAGGUUAAUAAAUUUUGAUUGGAUAAAUAUUUUAAGGAUUAUUAUUUAGGUGUAAAAUGUGUAAAUAAUGUAAUUUAUUUUGAUUAAAAUAAAAGUGAAUUGAAUUAACGAUAUCUUAAUGCAAAACUAGGAUUAGAUACCCUAUUAUUUUUGAUGUAAAUUAGCAAAGAGAAGCGCUUGCCUGAGUACUACGAAUGAAAUUAGAUUUAAAACUCAAAGAACUUGGCGGUAUCUUAGACCAUUUAGGGGAACCUGUCUCGUAAUCGAUAGUCCACGUUUUACCUAACCUUAUUUUGUAAAGUAUGUAUACCGUCGUCGUCAGGUAACUUUUAAGAAUUAAAAUAGUUAGCAAUUAAAUUAGUUUUGAUUUAAACGUCAGAUCAAGGUGCAGUUUAUAAUAAGGAGAGGAUGGGUUACAAUUAAUAAUUUAUAAUACGGAGUGAUAAAUGAAAGAUUUUAAGGAAGGAGGACUUAAAAGUAAAAGUUGUAAGAGUAUGAUUUUGAAUAAGGCUCUGAGAUGUGCACACAUCGCCCGUCGCUCUCGUUGAAAAAUGAGAUAAGUCGUAACAUAGUAAGGGUAACGGAAGUUGUCCUUAGGAAGA
rnacentral:ncRNA from 1 species